AUAUUGUGGUGGUAUAACAGGAAGAAUAUCAUGGAGUGAUGCUGCUAAAUUUGGACUUGGAGCUAUGUUGCAACAACUGGGAUUGCUACAUCGUUGGUAGAGAGAAGUGGGAGGCUUCUUCCACCGUUCAUUCGCGUUUUUCUUCUCCAGCGAACCGGUGACGACAACAACAUGUGCGAGGAUGAAAUAAGGUGCUAUGCAGCGGCGGCAACCACAUUCUCUACUCAGCGGCAAUUUCAUUCAUGGAACUCUAGAUUGAAAGUCAGUGUGAAAAAUAAUCAUGGAACACAAACUCAUAAAUUAUGCAUUUAUCACUAAAGCGCCAUCCAUUCCUCUUCGCAUGCCAUCUGUCGGUUGUGUUUAUUAUAAAGUGUAAUGUAAAUGUUAGAAGAAUCUAAAAAUCUUAAGAAAAAAAAUAUUGAAAUGUAAUGAAAAUUUUAAAAUAUUGUAA